AUUGAACGCUGGCGGCAGGCUUAACACAUGCAAGUCGAGCGGAGAUGAGGUGCUUGCACCUUAUCUUAGCGGCGGACGGGUGAGUAAUGCUUAGGAAUCUGCCUAUUAGUGGGGGACAACAUUCCGAAAGGAAUGCUAAUACCGCAUACGUCCUACGGGAGAAAGCAGGGGAUCUUCGGACCUUGCGCUAAUAGAUGAGCCUAAGUCGGAUUAGCUAGUUGGUGGGGUAAAGGCCUACCAAGGCGACGAUCUGUAGCGGGUCUGAGAGGAUGAUCCGACACACUGGGACGGGGACACGGCCCAGACUCCUACGGGAGGCAGCAGUGGGGAAUAUUGGACAAUGGGGGGAACCCUGAUCCAGCCAUGCCGCGUGGGUGGAGAAGGCCUUAUGGUUGUAAAGCACUUUAAGCGAGGAGGAGGCUACUGAGACUAAUACUCUUGGAUAGUGGACGUUACUCGCAGAAUAAGCACCGGCUAACUCUGUGCCAGCAGCCGCGGUAACAC
rnacentral:rRNA from 1 species